rnacentral:rRNA from 2 species
AGUCAUUCUGCCCAUUGUUUUUAAAAGGCUGCAGUAUAUUAACUGUACAAAGGUAGCAAAAUAAAUAGUUUUUUAAUUGGAAACUAGAAUGAAAGAAUUAAUAAAAUAUAAAUUGUUUCAAGUAUUAAAUUUAAAUUAAAAGUUAAAAUGCUUUUAUAUAUUUAUUAGACGAUAAGACCCUAAGAAUUUAAUUAUUGAAUUUAUUUUAAAAGUUUAUUAUAAUUUUAAUAAUUUUAUUGGGAGGAUAAUAAAAUAAAACUUUUAUUUAUUAAAAUAUUUAUAAAUAAAUUUAAUGAUUAUUUUUAAGAUUAUUAGAGUAAAUUACCUUAGGGAUAACAGCGUUAUAAUUUUGGAGAGUUCAUAUUGAUAAAAUUGUUUGCGACCUCGAUGUUGAAUUAAAAUGAAAUUUAAAUGAAGAAGUUUAAAGUUUUAGUCUGUUCGACUAUUAAAAUUUUAC